UUGGAGGGCAAGUCUGGUGCCAGCAGCCGCGGUAAUUCCAGCUCCAAUAGCGUAUAUUAAAGUUGUUGCAGUUAAAAAGCUCGUAGUUGAAUUUCGGGAUUGACACAUCGGUCGUGCCUUAAGGGGUAUGAACUGGUGUAGUCAAUUUCUCACCUUCUGGAGAACCGCGCUGUCCUUAAUUGGGUGACGCGGGGAACCAGGACCUUUACUUUGAAAAAAUUAGAGUGUUUAAAGCAGGCAUUUUGCUUGAAUACAUUAGCAUGGAAUAAUAAAAUAGGACGGCAUGAUUCUAUUUUGUUGGUUUCUAGGAUCACCGUAAUGAUUAAUAGGGAUAGUUGGGGGCAUUAGUAUUCAAUUGUCAGAGGUGAAAUUCUUGGAUUUAUUGAAGACUAACUACUGCGAAAGCAUUUGCCAAGGAUGUUUUCAUUAAUCAAGAACGAAAGUUAGGGGAUCGAAGACGAUCAGAUACCGUCGUAGUCUUAACCAUAAACUAUGCCGACUAGGAAUCAGACGAUGUUAAUUUUUUAAUGACUCGUUUGGCACCUUACGGGAAACCAAAGUGUUUGGGUUC
rnacentral:rRNA from 1 species